AGCGCUGAACCGCCGAAUCCCCGGACCCGGGGAACCGGGGACCCACCCUUUAGUCCCCUGGGGUGAAUCCGAGGUGCCCCCGCACCCUCGGUAGGGCUACCUCCGGCCCGAACCCGUCAGCUAACCCGGUAGGCGGCCGAGAGAGGAGCC
rnacentral:sRNA from 2 species